rnacentral:lncRNA from 1 species
GUAACUUUCCUCUGAAAACCCACGGCUAAAGGCCUCGCCCAUCUCCUCAACCGUAGCGCAUGUUUUCAGUGAUUGAGCAGCAUCAGAGCGGAGAUUUGUAGUAUGAGCUGGCUUAGCAUCUCUGUUUUCAGAAUCAGAGGUGGUGAUUGGGAGUUGGGUGGAUGGAUCGACGGGCCUCAAAGUUAGGAUCAAUAGGCCAAUGGCUGUGAAAAUUGCAGGUCAGAGGUGGUGAUUGGGAUGUGGGUGGAUGGAUCGACGGACCUCAAAGUUAGGAUCAAUAGGCCAAUGGCUGUGAAAAUUGCAGUGGCGACGAGUGCGCGGUGGAGAGAGAGUCGUCUCCGACGAGAUCCCAGCUGGAUCCUCAUUUCUUUACCGUGUGAAUACUGAAUACCGUACUUCUUCCCUAGCCAGCUUUUAGCCUUUAACUUU